rnacentral:rRNA from 1 species
UACAGAGGUGGCAAGCGUUGUUCGGAAUUACUGGGCGUAAAGGGCGCGUAGGCGGCCCGUCAAGUCCCGUGUGAAAGCCCCCGGCUCAACCGGGGAACUGCACGGGAAACUAGCAGGCUUGAGUUCGGGAGAGGGAAGCGGAAUUUCGGGUGUAGCGGUGAAAUGCGCAGAUAUCCGAAGGAACACCGGUGGCGAAGGCGGCUUCCUGGACCGACACUGACGCUGAGGCGCGAAAGCGUGGGGAGCGAACCGG